rnacentral:rRNA from 1 species
UUACGGCUCAGUAACACGUAGCUAAUCUUACCUUAGGUCUGUAAUACCCUCGCGAAAGUGAGGAUAAUGACAGGCAUGUUAUGGAUGCUGGAAUGCACUAUAGCUGAAAGGCAACGCCUAAGGACGAGGCUGCGGCUGAUUAGGUAGUUGUUAGUGUAAAAGACCAACAAGCCGAUGAUCAGUAAGGGCUCUUAACGGAGGGGCCCUGAGAGGGACUCUGAGACACUAGUCCCAGCUCUACGGAGUGCAGCAGGUGCGAAAAUUUUACAAUGCUCGAAAGAGUGAUAAAGGAACCCGGAGUGCUUUUCUAAUUUUUACGAAAAGCUUUUGUGUCGUGCAAAAAGCAACACGAAUAAGGACUGGGCAAGACCGGUGCCAGCCGCCGCGGUAAUCCCGGCGGUCCGAGUGGGAGCCACAUUUAUUAGGUCUAAAACAUUCGUAGCUCGCUUAGCAAGUUUGAUGUGAAAUUGUUGCGCUCAACGCAACAGCGUGCAUUAAAAACUAUUAAGCUAGAGACCGGGAGAUGUAAGAAGUACAGCUGGGGUAGCGGUAAGAUGUUUUAAUCCCGGCUGGACUAACAAUAGCGAAGGCAUCUUACAAGAACGGAUCUGACAGUGAGGGAUGAAGGCCAGGGGCGCAAAAGGGAUUAGAUACCCCUGUAGUCCUGGCUGUAAACGCUGCACACUAAACAUUGUUGCCUCCUCGAGAGGCAGCAGUGCUGAAGUGAAGACGGAAGUGUGCUACCUGGGAAGUAUAGUCGCAAGGCCGAAACUUAAAGGAAUUGGCGGGGGAGCAC